UACGAAGGGGGCUAGCGUUGCUCGGAAUGACUGGGCGUAAAGGGCGCGUAGGCGGAUGGUACAGUCAGAUGUGAAAUUCCUGGGCUUAACCUGGGGGCUGCAUUUGAUACGUGUUGUCUAGAGUGAGGAAGAGGGUCGUGGAAUUCCCAGUGUAGAGGUGAAAUUCGUAGAUAUUGGGAAGAACACCGGUGGCGAAGGCGGCGACCUGGUCCUUUAC
rnacentral:rRNA from 1 species